rnacentral:rRNA from 1 species
GAUGAACGCUAGCGGCAGGCCUAAUACAUGCAAGUCGAGGGGUAACAUGAGAGCUUGCUCUUGAUGACGACCGGCGCACGGGUGCGUAACGCGUAUGCAACCUACCCACGACUGGAGGAUAGCCCGGAGAAAUUCGGAUUAAUACUCCAUAAUGCAGGGGUACAGCAUUGUACUAUUUGCUAAAGAUUUAUUGGUUGUGGAUGGGCAUGCGUCUGAUUAGUUAGUUGGUGAGGUAACGGCUCACCAAGACGAUGAUCAGUAGGGGGUCUGAGAGGAUGAUCCCCCACACUGGCACUGAGAUACGGGCCAGACUCCUACGGGAGGCAGCAGUAGGGAAUAUUGGGCAAUGGAGGCAACUCUGACCCAGCCAUGCCGCGUGAAGGAUGAAGGCCUUCUGGGUUGUAAACUUCUUUUAUACAGGAAGAAAAAGGUCAUGCGUGACCAAUUGACGGUACUGUAUGAAUAAGCACCGGCUAACUCCGUGCCAGCAGCCGCGGUAAUACGGAGGGUGCAAGCGUCGUCCGGAUUUAUUGGGUUUAAAGGGUGCGCAGGCGGUGCGUUAAGUCAGUGGUGAAAUCCCUCAGCUCAACUGAGGAACUGCCAUUGAUACUGGCGUAC